GCGCGAAAACUCUACAAUGCAGGCAACUGCGAUAGGGGAACAUCGAGUGAUCCUCAUAUUGGGGGUCUGUCCACCCGUCUAAAAAACGGGUGUUAGCAAGGGCCGGGCAAGACCGGUGCCAGCCGCCGCGGUAAUACCGGCGGCUCGAGUGGUGGCCGAUAUUAUUGAGUCUAAAGGGUCCGUAGCCGGCUUUGCAAGUCUCUCGGGAAAUCCAGCGGCUUAACCGUUGGUCGUCCGGGGGGUACUACAUUGCUUGGGACUGGGAGAGGUAGGAGGUACUCAGGGGGUAGGAGUGAAAUCCUGUAAUCCUUUGGGGACCACCGGUGGCGAAGGCGUCCUACCAGAACAGGUCCGACGGUGAGGGACGAAAGCUAGGGGCACGAACCGGAUUAGAUACCCGGGUAGUCCUAGCCGUAAACGAUGCUCGCUAGGUGUCACAACAGUCGUGAACUGUUGUGGUGCCGUAGGGAAGCCGUGAAGCGAGCCACUUGGGAAGUACGACCGCAAGGUUGAAACUUAAAGGAAUUGGCGGGGGA
rnacentral:rRNA from 1 species